UACGUAGGGGGCAAGCGUUGUCCGGAAUCAUUGGGCGUAAAGAGCGUGUAGGCGGCCCGGUAAGUCCGUUGUGAAAGUCCAGGGCUCAACCCUGGAAAGCCGAUGGAUACUGCCGGGCUAGAGUUCGGAAGAGGCGAGUGGAAUUCCUGGUGUAGCGGUGGAAUGCGCAGAUAUCAGGAGGAACACCCAGGGGGAAACCAGCCGCCUGGGCAUGCGCUGACGCUGAGGUGCGAGAGCGUGGGGAGCGAACCGG
rnacentral:rRNA from 1 species